rnacentral:rRNA from 1 species
AGACCCGAAACCCGGUGAUCUAGCCAUGGGCAGGUUGAAGGUUGGGUAACACUAACUGGAGGACCGAACCGACUAAUGUUGAAAAAUUAGCGGAUGACCUGUGGCUGGGGGUGAAAGGCCAAUCAAACCGGGAGAUAGCUGGUUCUCCCCGAAAGCUAUUUAGGUAGCGCCUCGUGAAUUCAUCUCCGGGGGUAGAGCACUGUUUCGGCUAGGGGGCCAUCCCGGCUUACCAACCCGAUGCAAACUGCGAAUACCGGAGAAUGUUAUCACGGGAGACACACGGCGGGUGCUAACGUCCGUCGUGAAGAGGGAAACAACCCAGACCGCCAGCUAAGGUCCCAAAGUCAUGGUUAAGUGGGAAACGAUGUGGGAAGGCCCAGACAGCCAGGAUGUUGGCUUAGAAGCAGCCAUCAUUUAAAGAAAGCGUAAUAGCUCACUGGUCGAGUCGGCCUGCGCGGAAGAUGUAACGGGGCUAAACCAUGCACCGAAGCUGCGGCAGCGACACUGUGUGUUGUUGGGUAGGGGAGCGUUCUGUAAGCCUGUGAAGGUGUGUCGUGAGGCAU